rnacentral:rRNA from 1 species
UACGUAGGGUGCAAGCGUUAAUCGGAAUUACUGGGCGUAAAGCGUGCGCAGGCGGUUAUGUAAGACAGAUGUGAAAUGCCCGGGCUUAACCUGGGAACUGCAUUUGUGACUGCAUGGCUAGAGUUUGGCAGAGGGGGGUAGAAUUCCACGUGUAGCAGUGAAAUGCGUAGAGUAUGUGGAGGAACACCGAUGGCGAAGGCAGCCCCCUGGGUUAACACUGACGCUCAGGCACGAAAGCGUGGGGAGCAAACAGG